rnacentral:rRNA from 1 species
CCAGACUCCUACGGGAGGCAGCAGUAGGGAAUCUUCGGCAAUGGACGAAAGUCUGACCGAGCAACGCCGCGUGAGUGAAGAAGGUUUUCGGAUCGUAAAACUCUGUUGGUAGAGAAGAACGUUGGUGAGAGUGGAAAGCUCAUCAAGUGACGGUAACUACCCAGAAAGGGACGGCUAACUACGUGCCAGCAGCCGCGGUAAUACGUAGGUCCCGAGCGUUGUCCGGAUUUAUUGGGCGUAAAGCGAGCGCAGGUGGUUUAUUAAGUCUGGUGUAAAAGGCAGUGGCUCAACCAUUGUAUGCAUUGGAAACUGGUAGACUUGAGUGCAGGAGAGGAGAGUGGAAUUCCAUGUGUAGCGGUGAAAUGCGUAGAUAUAUGGAGGAACACCGGUGGCGAAAGCGGCUCUCUGGCCUGUAACUGACACUGAGGCUCGAAAGCGUGGGGAGCAAACAGGAUUAGAUACCCUGGUAGUCCACGCCGUAAACGAUGAGUGCUAGAUGUAGGGAACUAUAAGUUCUCUGUAUCGCAGCUAACGCAAUAAGCACUCCGGCUGGGGAGUACGACCGCAAGGUUGAAACUCAAAGGAAUUGACGGGGGCCCGCACAAG